rnacentral:rRNA from 1 species
UACAGAGGGCGCGAGCGUUGUCCGGAAUUACUGGGCGUAAAGGGCGCGUAGGCGGCGACCCAAGUCAGAUGUGAAAGUCCUGGGCUUAACCUGGGGACUGCAUUUGAUACUGGGUUGCUUGAAUUCGGGAGAGGAUAGCGGAAUUCCCAGUGUAGAGGUGAAAUUCGUAGAUAUUGGGAAGAACACCGGUGGCGAAGGCGGCUAUCUGGACCGACAUUGACGCUGAGGCGCGAAAGCGUGGGGAGCAAACAGG